rnacentral:rRNA from 1 species
UGGGGAAUAUUGCACAAUGGGCGCAAGCCUGAUGCAGCCAUGCCGCGUGUAUGAAGAAGGCCUUCGGGUUGUAAAGUACUUUUCAGCGGGGAGGAAGGGAGUAAAGUUAAUACCUUUGCUCAUUGACGUUACCCGCAGAAGAAGCACCGGCUAACUCCGUGCCAGCAGCCGCGGUAAUACGGAGGGUGCAAGCGUUAAUCGGAAUUACUGGGCGUAAAGCGCACGCAGGCGGUUUGUUAAGUCAGAUGUGAAAUCCCCGGGNUCAACCUGGGAACUGCAUCUGAUACUGGCAAGCUUGAGUCUCGUAGGAGGGGGUAGAAUUCCAGGUGUAGCGGUGAAAUGCGUAGAGAUCUGGAGGAAUACCGGUGGCGAAGGCGGCCCCCCUGGACGAAGACUGACGCUCAGGUGCGAAAGCGUGGGGCAGCAAACAGGAUUAGAUACCCUGGUAGUCCACGCCGUAAACGAUGUCGACUUGGAGUUGUGCCCUUGAGGCGUGGCUUCCGGAGCUAACGC